AGGAUUAGAUACCUUGGUAGUCCACGCUGUAAUCGAUGAUCACUAGCUGUUUGCGAUACAUUGUAAGUGGUUAAGCGUAAGCGAUAAGUGAUCCACUUGGGGAUUACGUCGGCAACGAUGAAACUCUUAGGGAUUGACGGGGGCCCGCACAAGCGGAGGAGCAUGUGGUUUAAUUCGAUGAUACGCGAGGAACCUUACCUGGGCUUGAACGUAUGGGCAUGAGUGUGAAAGCACUCUUUCCUUCACAGGACUUCAUACGAGGUGCUGCAUGGUUGUCGUCAGCUCGUGCCGUGAGGUGUUAGGUUAAGUCCUGCAACGAGCGCAACCCCUGUUUUUAGUUGCCAGCAGGUUAUGCUGGGCACUCUAGAAAGACUGCCUGCGCAAGCAGAGAGGAAGGUGGGGAUGACGUCAAAUCAGCACGGCCCUUACGUCCAGGGCUACACACGUGCUACAAUGGUCGGCACAGAGGGUGGCUACCCGGCGACGGGAUGCUAAUCUCCAAAGUCGAUCUUAGUUCGGAUCGAAGUCUGCAACUCGACUUCGUGAAGUUGGAUUCGCUAGUAAUCGUAUAUCAGCCAUGAUACGGUGAUACGUUCCCGGGCAUUGUACACACCGCCCGUCAAGCCAUGGAAGUUGGGGGUACCUGAAGUCGAUUACCGAAAGGGAUUGCCUAGGGUAAACCGAUAACUGGGGCUAAGUCG
rnacentral:rRNA from 1 species